rnacentral:rRNA from 1 species
CUCUGUAAUUGGAAUGAUGGGAAUGUAAAACCCUUCCAGAGUAACAAUUGGAGGGCAAGUCUGGUGCCAGCAGCCGCGGUAAUUCCAGCUCCAAUAGUGUAUAUUAGAGUUGUUGCAGUUAAAAAGCUCGUAGUUGGAUUUCUGCUGUGGUCAUCCGGUACCGCCCGUAUGGGUGCGCACCUGGUUUGGCUGCGGCUUUCUUCCUGUAGCCGUCCGCGCUUAAUUGCGUGCGCUGUGUUACGGAACUUUUACUUUGAGAAAAAUAGAGUGUUUCAAGCAGGCUUGGCCGCCCUGAAUACUUCAGCAUGGAAUAUUAGGAUAGGACCUGGGUUCAUUUUUGUUGGUUUCUAGGACCAAGUUAAUGAUAAAUAGGAACAGUUGGGGG